rnacentral:rRNA from 1 species
AACGAACGCUGGCGGCAGGCCUAACACAUGCAAGUCGAGCGAGGACUUCGGUUCUAGCGGCGGACGGGUGAGUAACGCGUGGGAAUGUGCCCUUCUCUACGGAAUAGCCCUGGGAAACUGGGAGUAAUACCGUAUACGCCCUAUUGGGGAAAGAUUUAUCGGAGAAGGAUCAGCCCGCGUUGGAUUAGGUAGUUGGUGGGGUAAUGGCCUACCAAGCCGACGAUCCAUAGCUGGUUUGAGAGGAUGAUCAGCGACACUGGGACUGAGACACGGCCCAGACUCGUACGGGAGGCAGCAGUGGGGAAUCUUAGACAAUGGGGGCAACGCUGAUCUAGCCAGGCCGCGUGAGUGAUGAAGGCCUUAGGGUUGUAAAGCUCUUUCAGCUGGGAAGAUAAUGACGGUACCAGCAGAAGAAGCCCCGGCUAACUCCGUG